rnacentral:lncRNA from 1 species
UUAGGAUUGAUAGGAUGGUUAAAAUUCAGCAACAGAACCAUAAGGUUCUACAAUUCAAUUUUCCUAUUAGAAUUGGAUCGGAGAAUAGAACCAUAUGAUCAUAACAUCCGGAUCGAGAGAAUGUAACAACCAUGGUUCUACUUUCUUCAAAUAUCUACAAGGGUCUAUAAUUUUAACAUCUAUUUUUCUGCAGCUAAUGAUUUUUAUUGGUAUAUUAUAUUAUAUUCAUUUAUCUGAAAUUGAUUGAAGGGAUCGGUAAAGUUGCAGACUGCAUUAAUGGUGGUCAGCAGUCAGAAUUAUGCUAUCACAAUUCCACUAGUUAUUCUUUUACUUUGAUUAAUGGUAAUUAUUUUGCAGAGUCUUGAUGCCCUAAUAUACAUUAUAACUAAUACAUCGUAUUUAGAUACAUUCAUUUCAACAGGAAUGAGUAUUUUUAUUUAUGCCACCAAAAUGAAUUUUCUCUGUUCGAUGAUUUGUCUAAGAGAAUUUUUCUACUUCCUUCAAACAUGAAAACGCUGUUAAGAAUUUAACAUCUAUCUUUCUGCUGCAAUAAAUUCAUAUGAAAUUGAUUGUCUUUUUAAGAAAUUGAGCGGAUAGAUAUAUUGAAGAGCGAACCACUUCUUAUGCUUAUCGUUUGUCCUUUUUUCUUCAAAUUAUGGCUAUUAUUUCUUUUGGCAACUAUAGCUUACUUUUUUCCACCCUUGUUUAUCAUCUUUCUGAGUUUUCAGUUGCCAAUGUAUGGGUGAAUUAUCUUAUUCUGUAGCCUGUAUUGUACAUCGAUGGGAAGAUAUGAUACUUUGAUAGUUAUUAAGGUUAACUAUUGAAACCAUCUGGCGAGUAGCUAAGAUCUUAAGGCAUCUGAUGGGCGCCUAACAUUUGACACGUUCUUUGUUUGCUAAUAUAAUAGCAGUUUCUGUUUAGAGAAUAUCGCCCUAAAUCGAAUCUAGGUACAUUCAUUUUAAAAGGAAUGAGUAUUUUUAUGCCACUAAAAUGUAUUUUCUCUGUUUGAUGAUUUGUGAGAUAAUUUUCUACUCCCUUCAAACAUGAAAAGGCUGUUAGGAAUUUAACAUCUGUCUUUCUGCUGCAAUAAAUUCAUAUGAAAUUGAUUGUCUUUUUAAGAAACUAAGCAGACAGAUAUAUGGAAGAGCAAACCUCUUUCUUGUGCUUAUCGUUUGUUCUUUUUUCUCCUCCAAAUUAAGUCCUUUUAUUAUUUCUUUUGGCAACUAUAGCUGUACUUUUUUCCACCCAUGUUUAUCAUCCUUUUGAGUUUUCAGUUGCCAAUGUAUGAGUGAAUUAUCUUAUUCCAUAGCCUGUAUUGCACCUCGAUGGGAAGAUCUGACACUUUUAAUAUUUAUUAAGGUUAACUAGCGAAAUGGAUCCAUCUGGCAAGUAGCUAACAUCUUAAGGCAUCUGAGAGGCUCCUAGCAUUUGAGAGGUUCUUUGUUUGCUAAUAUAAUAGCAAUUUCUGUUUAGAGAAUAUCGCCACUUAAGCAGCUUGUCCAGAGGUUGAUGUAAACUUUCAAAAGCUUUGAAACACAAUUUGAAACGUUGUAAUAGGAGAGACUAUAAUGUGUAGCCAUUGUAUUAUCAUUAUAAGGUAUCCUUAUCUUGUUCCUUAAUAAUGUUUUCUUAGUUAUGUUUUAUUCUAGGGAAUUUUGAUACAGAAGUUAGGCCCUUCUACACGCUGAACCUGUUUUGUGAUGGCAAGUAGGAAGGCAAUCACAUAGGUCAUAUUGUAUCAUGGUAAAGCAUCCUCAAGUUUCCAUUCCUUUCCAAUCACUUAUAUUUAUUGGAAACCAUUUUGAGCAUAAUUACUUAAUUUUUUAUUUUCUCAUAUAUGCAGGUUUAGUUGCUGAAAGAAGGCCAUGAACAAUGUACUAAUACUUCUUUGAUAUGUGUAAACACUAUAGUAAGAGUUAAAAAAGUUCAAUCUCCCCUUAUAAAAUUGGCACAUUUAUUCAUGGUAUUGUCUAUGGUAGCUACAUGGGACUGCCCCCACAAACACUGAAUAUAGGAGUUACUUUUUACAUCUUUCUCCUUUCUGUGCAUUCAUGAAUAUUACAGCACCACUGGUAACAAUUUCUGUUUUCCUUGGUAGAUAUUUUAGAGGGGGGUUUUAUAUACCAAAGAAGUAACCAGUUAUUUUUCCUUGGACUUCAAAAGUCCUAGUAGUAUUGAUCAACAAAUGCAAUUGCAGGAAGCCUAGAUUCAAAUACAAGGCAGAAUGGAGAGAUACUUAUCAAUGUUUGCAGGCAAGCAUUAGCAUUUGGC